rnacentral:rRNA from 1 species
GAUGAACGCUGGCGGCGUGCCUAAUACAUGCAAGUCGAGCGAACAGACAAGGAGCUUGCUCCGUUGACGUUAGCGGCGGACGGGUGAGUAACACGUGGAUAACCUACCUAUCAGACGGGGAUAACUUCGGGAAAGCGGAGCUAAUACCGGAGAAUAUAUUGAACCGCAGGGGGCAAUAGUGAAAGACGGUGUUGCUGUCACUUAUAGAUGGAUCCGCGCCGCAUUAGCUAGUUGGUAAGGUAACGGCUUACCAAGGCAACGAUGCGUAGCCGACCUGAGAGGGUGAUCGGCCACACUGGAGCUUAGACACGGUCCAUACUCCUACGGUAGGCCGCAGUAGGCAAUCUUCCGCAGUGGGCGAAAGCCUUACGGAGCAACGCCGCGUGAGUUAUAACGGUGUUCGGAUCGUAAAACUCUGUUUUUGGGGAAGAACAACUGUGUAAGUAACUAUGCACUUCUUGACGGUACCUAGUCAGAAAGCCCCGGCUAACUACGUG